rnacentral:rRNA from 1 species
UCCGUAGGUGAACCUGCNGGAAGGAUCAUUCGCACAAUGUUCUAUUCCACACGCCACACAUCAUAUUGUCAACCCUGAAAGUAAAUUGGACCUAUCGUCCGUCUCUACGAAGUUGCAUUUCCAUUGCAGCGUUUGCGAUGUUUCUAUCUCUUGCAACGACGAAUGCCUUGGCUCGAGGAUCGUUGAAGGACGCAGCGAACUGUGUUACACAUCUCGAAUUGCAGAUUUCCGAGAAAGAUAAGGAUUCUGAACGCAUUCUGCGAGUUUAGCUUGCUAAACUCACGUGGCUGACGGUGACCGCAAUAUGCAGUCGUCCGAACUCUGAAGUUUGGAUGGAAAUCUCGUGUCGCCACCUUCUGGUGUCGAUGCGACCGUGUCAAGAAAACGCGUGCUUCAUUUUUCGAGCACUACUUGUGACUUCUUGUCCGUUUAGUGUUUGUUUCUUGAACCUGCGACUGUUUGUUUUGCAAACAUUUUUUUCGCACGAUCACGAUCAGUUACGGGAUUACCCGCUGAAUUUAAGCAUAUCAAUA